GCCUGAUGCAGCCAUGCCGCGUGUGUGAAGAAGGCUUUCGGGUUGUAAAGCACUUUCAGCGAGGAGGAAAGGUUGUACUUUAAUAGAGUGCAGCUGUGACGUUACUCGCAGAAGAAGCACCGGCUAACUCCGUGCCAGCAGCCGCGGUAAUAAUCACU
rnacentral:rRNA from 1 species